CUUCCAGAUUGUUAUCCCUUUCUUCAGUCUCUUGAUUAAAGACAUUUACUUCCUCAAUGAAGGAUGUGCCAACAGGCUCCUGAACGGACAUGUCAAUUUUGAGAAAUUCUGGGAGCUGGCCAAACAAGUGAUGGAGUUCAUGACAUGGAAGAAGGUGGAGUGUCCUUUUGAUAGAGACCGCAAGAUUCUGCAGUAUCUCCUGACCGCACCAGUCUUCAGUGAAGAUGCUUUGUAUCUGGCAUCAUAUGAGAGUGAAGGACCAGAGAACAACAUGGAGAAAGACAGAUGGAAAUCUCUCAGGUCAUCUUUGCUGAACAGGACAUAAUCCCGUGAGGAACUCAAAACCAAGUGAACCCUGACAAGCAGGCUGUGUCCCCCUUUUGCCCCCUCCAAAAGUGAGAAGUAUCCCUGUUUUUCAAGGGAGAUGACAAUCCAUAUUUUGAUGAACGGUGCAUUUUUAUGUUGGAAAGAGCAGCAUCUUU